rfam:Magnaporthe poae ATCC 64411 unplaced genomic scaffold supercont1.1, whole genome shotgun sequence.
GGUCAGAUGGCCGAGCGGUCUAAGGCGCUAGCUUCAGGAUGGUCUUCGGAUCAGAUGACAUGCUAGUCAUGAAAAUGGCGUGGGUUCGAAUCCCACUCUGAUCA